rnacentral:rRNA from 1 species
AUUGAACGCUGGCGGCAGGCUUAACACAUGCAAGUCGAGCGGAGUGAUGGUGCUUGCACUAUCACUUAGCGGCGGACGGGUGAGUAAUGCUUAGGAAUCUGCCUAUUAGUGGGGGACAACAUCUCGAAAGGGAUGCUAAUACCGCAUACGUCCUACGGGAGAAAGCAGGGGAUCACUUGUGACCUUGCGCUAAUAGAUGAGCCUAAGUCGGAUUAGCUAGUUGGUGGGGUAAAGGCCUACCAAGGCGACGAUCUGUAGCGGGUCUGAGAGGAUGGUCCGCCACACUGGGACUGAGACACGGCCCAGACUCCGACGGGAGGCAGCAGUGGGGAAUAUUGGACAAUGGGGGGAACCCUGAUCUAGCCAUGCCGCGUGUGUGAAGAAGGCCUUAUGGUUGUAAAGCACUUUAAGCGAGGAGGAGGCUCUUUUGGUUAAUACCCAAGAUGAGUGGACGUUACUCGCAGAAUAAGCACCGGCUAACUCUGUGCCAGCAGCCGCCGUAACAC